rnacentral:rRNA from 1 species
UACGGGGGGCGCAAGCGUUGUUCGGAUUUACUGGGCGUAAAGGGCGCGUAGGCGGCCACUGCAAGUCAGUUGUGAAAUCUCCGGGCUUAACCCGGAAAGGUCAGCUGAUACUGCAGGGCUAGAGUGCAGAAGGGGCAACUGGAAUUCUCGGUGUAGCGGUGAAAUGCGUAGAUAUCGAGAGGAACACCUGCGGCGAAGGCGGGUUGCUGGGCUGACACUGACGCUGACAGCGCGAAAGCUAGGGGAGCGAACGGG